UACAGAGGGUGCGAGCGUUAAUCGGAAUUACUGGGCGUAAAGGGCGCGUAGGUGGUUAGUUAAGAUUGAUGUGAAAUCCCUGGGCUUAACCUAGGAAUGGCAUCGGUGACUGGCUAGCUGGAGUACUGUAGAGGGUAGUGGAAUUUCCGGUGUAGCGGUGAAAUGCGUAGAGAUCGGAAGGAACACCAGUGGCGAAGGCGACUAUCUGGACAGAUACUGACACUGAGGCGCGAGAGCGUGGGUAGCAAACAGG
rnacentral:rRNA from 1 species